AGUCCUCCCGGCCGCGCGGCGCCGGGGCUGAGCUGGGCUGGCGCGCGGCUGUCGGAGCGAGGACCCGCCCCGGGACGGCACCGAAAGCGAAGGCGGGCACCGCCCGGCCGACAGGCGACUCAAAGGCGGCCCAGCCAAGCCGAAGUCCCCAGCACCCCCCCGCAGGCUCCCGCUUGCCCCCUUCCCGCCCCGUCGCCAGCCCGGAAAGCGGAGUGCACGGGCCCCGGUGACGGCGCGUGAAGCGCCGCGGCCCGGCAGGAGCCAGUGCGGGUCCCGAGCCGUGCUCGGAGUGGGAGGGCUGCCAGCUCGGCCGCGCGCCACAGCCCGCUUCCUCCGGUCCGCGCCAGGCCCGCGAGGGUCUGAGUCCCGGGUCAGUGACGCGCGCCCAGGGUCCCCGCACGCGGCGGCGGCCGGCCCGGCCUGGCCCCUGCCCAGCGUCUCCCACGCGGCGCCUCGGGCCGCGGACAAAGAUGCACUUUGUUUCCUCGGAGGGCGCGAAGGGCUCUGCGGGUCGGCUGCGACCCGGCGCUGGCUGCCCGCGCUGCUCUCGGUGCGACCCGAGCGCCCCCCGCCGGCCGCGGUGCGCGGCGCGGGGUCUACGCGGACGGCGCCUGGGGCUCAGGGUCCAGCGUGGGAAGCUGCUUAUUCUGUGAAUAAACUGCCUUCCAGCACACCCGGCCAGCAAAUCCACGAGCCUCCCUGCAGCCAAACCCAGCCAGAUUAAGUAAUAAAAACGCAGACGGAGUCGCCGGAGUCUCCGCCGUGGGGAGCGUUAAUGAGUAACAGCCAGGCCAGCGCCAAGCCGGCGUGGGAUUAACGUUUUUAAAUUCCGGUCUUAUUUAUUUUGGGGCUCUUAGCUCCUUCCAGUGUUAUGCUCAGAACAUCAGACUCCAGGUCUGUGCUCAGCCCCGUUUCCUUGCUCCCUCCGCUCCGAAGGCCCCACUCCUGGAAAUGGGCUGUCUUCGGUCACCCGGGAUCUGCCACGAGUGUCCUACAGCUGGGGGCGGGGCAGGCAGGCCCCAAAGAACAAUGAGGCCUUUGCCUCCUCUGCAUCCUGCGGGCCGGAUAUCCGUUCAGAAGCCGACUCUGGGCCUUCUCUGUCCAGAAGGAGGAAACCCUCUGUCCCCAGGGCUGCCAGGAAGUCGCAGGGAGGUGCCGAGAGAAACAGAGAACAGUUAUUAUGCAUUGGAGAAUAUAAAGAAAUCAAUAAACCUUCCAGGCCUUGGAAACUGGUCUGGUCACUGAUUGUAACAACCCAAGAUUACCUGCUUUCCUGGGGGAGUAUACCCACCACCACCACUUCCUGGUGUCUAGACUUGGGCUUCAGUUUAAAAGGACUGCCUGUCCUAGCUGGGAUUGGAGAAUUGAGAGAAAGGCAUGUGAUCCUCCCGGGACCCAGAGGUAAGUACAAGGAGAGCAGCA
rnacentral:lncRNA from 10 species